AUCAAAAAAGGCAGUACCUUUCUCUGAAGGGAGGAGAGAACUUCCACUUUGAAUACGGCCUUGUCUAAAUAAGAUCAGAGUUGGCGAACUCAAGAGGCUUCCAUAGCCUUGACAGCUCAUGACAAGAGCCUCAGGUGAUUACUGACAUCAUAAAUAAUAGCGUCAAUUGUUAAAUCAACAAUGGGAGUCACUGUGCACUUGCUCCCCAUGUAGGAUCUCUGUCCUUAAUGAGUUGUACUAUGUGAAUUGAUGGUGUACAGUUACCCAUUUCCUCAAGGAGCUCUAGCUGAUUUCAUUAGGAUUCCACUAGAAGUUUGGUGCUUCCAGACCCUGACAGAAGGCAAGGCUAGUAAAUACACGUUCACUGUAGCAUCCAACCUUCACUUUGCAUCUUUCUCUGAGAAGAAAAAACACCUGGGUCUCAUUAUUCAUAAUUUUUACUUCAUUUGUCAAGUUCUACUAUCCUUGUUAAGUUGUUUGAGAAUUGCUAAUCCGCACCUCUGUGAGAAAGCAAAUUUAACAAGAAAUGAUAUGUUUUAAAAGUGUGAAAACAAAGAUUAAACAAGAUCAGGUAUGUAUUUUGUACAACUUCUCAUAUCCAUUCUCUCUUUUUUUAAUUUUCCCCAAAUAAGCCUUUUAUUCAAGGAGUAUAGACUUCAUGCAUUUUAAAAGUACAACUUUUGGAAUAUAGUGAUUCUUCCUACCAUGCCCACACUCCCAUCCACUUUCCCACCCCUCCUCCUCCCUUUUCCAUUCCCUGUCCAAUUCUCCACUAAGAUCCAUUUUUGA